UUAAUAUAUAGUUAUUUAGAGUUAGGGAAUUAAGUGUAAAUCUUGAGUUGUCCCAGCAACUGUGAUAUGGACGAACACCACAAGCCACUGAAAAUAUUUUUUGGGAAGGCGGUUAGUAGGAUGAAGUUAAGCCAGUAGACCUUUCUAAAUUUAAUUAGUCUU
rnacentral:ncRNA from 1 species